UACGGAGGGUGCAAGCGUUAUCCGGAUUUACUGGGUUUAAAGGUGCGUAGGUGGAUAUUUAAGUCAGCGGUGAAAUCUCCAGGCUUAACCUGGAAAUUGCCAUUGAUACUAUUUAUCUUGAAUUAUCUGGAGUGAGCGGAAUAUGUCAUGUAGCGGUGAAAUGCUUAGAUAUACAUUAGAACACCAAUGCGAAGGCAGCUCACUACGGGUAUAUUGACACUGAGGCACGAA
rnacentral:rRNA from 1 species